UAUCUCUCCGUACGGGGAAGGAUGAGAAGCUUCGACUAAGGUUCGAUUCGAGCGCAGCGAGAAAGCGUUGCCGUAGGCAACGACCCGAAGGGCGAAGCGCGCAGCGCUGAGUAAUCCUUCCCCCACACCAC
rnacentral:sRNA from 1 species